UGGCGGGACGGGGUGGAGGUAACGCGUGGGUAACCUGCCUCAUACAGGGGGAUAACAGUUAGAAAUGACUGCUAAUACCGCAUAAGACCACAGCACCGCAUGGUGCAGGGGUAAAAACUCCGGUGGUAUGGGAUGGACCCGCGUCUGAUUAGGUAGUUGGUGGGGUAACGGCCUACCAAGCCGACGAUCAGUAGCCGACCUGAGAGGGUGACCGGCCACAUUGGGACUGAGACACGGCCCAA
rnacentral:rRNA from 1 species